AUAUCAAUAAGCGGAGGAAAAGAAACCAACAGGGAUUGCCCUAGUAACGGCGAGUGAAGCGGCAACAGCUCAAAUUUGAAAUCUGGCCCUAGGCCCGAGUUGUAAUUUGCAGAGGAUGCUUUUGGUGACGCGCUUACCGAGUCCCCUGGAACGGGGCGCCACAGAGGGUGAGAGCCCCGUAUGGUUUGACGCCGAGCCUCUGUAAAGCUCCUUCGACGAGUCGAGUAGUUUGGGAAUGCUGCUCUAAAUGGGAGGUAAAUUUCUUCUAAAGCUAAAUACCGGCCAGAGACCGAUAGCGCACAAGUAGAGUGAUCGAAAGAUGAAAAGCACUUUGAAAAGAGGGUUAAAUAGCACGUGAAAUUGUUGAAAGGGAAGCGCUUGUGACCAGACUUGCGCCGGGCGGAUCAUCCAGCGUUCUCGCUGGUGCACUCCGCCCGGCUCAGGCCAGCAUCGGUUUUCGCCGGGGGACAAAAGCUUCGGGAACGUAGCUCCUCUCGGGGAGUGUUAUAGCCUGUUGCGUAAUACCCCGGCGGGGACCGAGGACCGCGCUUCGGCAAGGAUGCUGGCGUAAUGGUCAUCAGCGACCCGUCUUGAAACACGGACCGAGGAGUCAAGCAUUAGUGCGAGUGUUUGGGUGUAAAACCCGCACGCGUAAUGAAAGUGAACGUAGGUGAGAGCUUCGGCGCAUCAUCGACCGAUCCUGAUGUUUUCGGAUGGAUUUGAGUAGGAGCAUUAACGCUUGGACCCGAAAGAUGGUGAACUAUACUUGAAUAGGGUGAAGCCAGAGGAAACUCUGGUGGAGGCUCGCAGCGGUUCUGACGUGCAAAUCGAUCGUCAAAUUUGAGUAUAGGGCGAAAGACUAAUCGA
rnacentral:rRNA from 1 species